rnacentral:rRNA from 1 species
UGAGGAAUAUUGGUCAAUGGGCGAAAGCCUGAACCAGCCAUGCCGCGUGCAGGAUGACUGCCCUAUGGGUUGUAAACUGCUUUUGUACGGGAAGAAUCUCCCGCAUUCUUGCGGGAUUGACGGUACCGUACGAAUAAGGAUCGGCUAACUCCGUGCCAGCAGCCGCGGUAAUACGGAGGAUCCAAGCGUUAUCCGGAUUCAUUGGGUUUAAAGGGUGCGUAGGCGGAAUAGUAAGUCAGUGGUGAAAUCCUGCAGCUUAACUGUAGAAUUGCCAUUGAUACUGCUAUUCUUGAGUGUAGUUGAGGUGAGCGGAAUGUGUAAUGUAGCGGUGAAAUGCAUAGAUAUUACACAGAACACCAAUUGCGAAGGCAGUUCACUAAACUACUACUGACGCUCAGGCACGAAAGCGUGGGGAGCGAACA